rnacentral:rRNA from 1 species
UAGGGAAUCUUCCACAAUGGACGCAAGUCUGAUGGAGCAACGCCGCGUGAGUGAAGAAGGUCUUCGGAUCGUAAAACCUCUGUUGUUAGAGAAGAACACGAGUGAGAGUAACUGUUCAUUCGAUGACGGUAUCUAACCAGCAAGUCACGGCUAACUACGUGCCAG